rnacentral:rRNA from 1 species
GGCGAACGGGUGAGUAACACGUGAGUAACCUGCCCUUGACUCUGGGAUAAGCGUUGGAAACGACGUCUAAUACCGGAUACGAGCUUCAGCCGCAUGGCUAGGAGCUGGAAAGAACUUCGGUCAAGGAUGGACUCGCGGCCUAUCAGCUUGUUGGUGAGGUAAUGGCUCACCAAGGCGACGACGGGUAGCCGGCCUGAGAGGGUGACCGGCCACACUGGGACUGAGACACGGCCCAGACUCCUACGGGAGGCAGCAGUGGGGAAUAUUGCACAAUGGGCGAAAGCCUGAUGCAGCAACGCCGCGUGAGGGACGACGGCCUUCGGGUUGUAAACCUCUUUUAGUAGGGAAGAAGCGAAAGUGACGGUACCUGCAGAAAAAGCACCGGCUAACUACGUGCCAGCAGCCGCGGUAAUACGUAGGGUGCAAGCGUUAUCCGGAAUUAUUGGGCGUAAAGAGCUCGUAGGCGGUUUGUCGCGUCUGCUGUGAAAACCCGAGGCUCAACCUCGGGCCUGCAGUGGGUACGGGCAGACUAGAGUGCGGUAGGGGAGAUUGGAAUUCCUGGUGUAGCGGUGGAAUGCGCAGAUAUCAGGAGGAACACCGAUGGCGAAGGCAGAUCUCUGGGCCGUAACUGACGCUGAGGAGCGAAAGCAUGGGGAGCGAACAGGAUUAGAUACCCUGGUAGUCCAUGCCGUAAACGUUGGGCGCUAGAUGUGGGGACCAUUCCACGGUUUCCGUGUCGCAGCUAACGCAUUAAGCGCCCCGCCUGGGGAGUACGGCCGCAAGGCUAAAACUCAAAGGAAUUGA